rnacentral:rRNA from 1 species
UACGGGGGGGGCAAGCGUUGUUCGGAUUUACUGGGCGUAAAGGGCUCGUAGGCGGCCAACUAAGUCAGACGUGAAAUCCCUCGGCUUAACCGGGGAACUGCGUCUGAUACUGGAUGGCUUGAGUUUGGGAGAGGGAUGCGGAAUUCCAGGUGUAGCGGUGAAAUGCGUAGAUAUCUGGAGGAACACCGGUGGCGAAGGCGGCAUCCUGGACCGGUAUUGACGCUGAGGCGCGAAAGCCAGGGGAGCAAACGGG